rnacentral:rRNA from 1 species
GAUGAACGCUGGCGGCGUGCCUAAUACAUGCAAGUCGAGCGAACAGACGAGGAGCUUGCUCCUCUGACGUUAGCGGCGGACGGGUGAGUAACACGUGGAUAACCUACCUAUAAGACUGAGAUAACUUCGGGAAACCGGAGCUAAUACCGGAUAAUAUAUUGAACCGCAUUGUUCAAUAGUGAAAGACGGUUUUGCUGUCACUUAUAGAUGGAUCCUCGCCGCAUUAGCUAGUUGGUAAGGUAACGGCUUACCAAGGCGACGAUGCGUAGCCGACCUGAGAGGGUGAUCGGCCACCCUGGAACUGAGACACGGCCCAGACUCCUACGGGAGGCAGCAGUAGGGAAUCUUCCGCAAUGGGCGAAAGCCUGACGGAGCAACGCCGCGUGAGUGAUGAAGGUCUUCGGAUCGUAAAACUCUGUUAUUAGGGAAGAACAAAUGUGUAAGUAACUAUGCACGUCUUGACGGUACCUAAUCAGAAAGCCACGGCUAACUACGUG